GUUCGUUUUAAUGGGUGUUGAGAGCUUUAAAGAUAUUUAUUUUGUGAGUGAGCCAAUUGGGGAAGUUGGAGUUAUUGUUUACAUUAAAGAACCAUUGGUAAUGGCAGCAAUGGCAAUGCCAAUAGCAAUAGCAAUAACAAUGGCAUUCAACUGCACACACUAACAACAUUAAUGACUAUGCCAUACCUCUCUCUCCAUCAUCCAUACUCUUCCACUUCUCACACCGCCUUUCAUUACUACUACUACUACGUCUUCUCAACAUGCACCCAAUUAAUUUUUUUCCUUUUUUAUUCAUCUCAAAACUUUUUUCUAUUUACUCUUUAAAAACACCUUCUUCAACCACA
rnacentral:lncRNA from 1 species